UAUACCACACCCCUGGUUAUCCCUCCUCUGGGUAUUGAGCUGAGGACUAACGUCUACGUUCAGGUUUUAGCUGCCAACCUGACUUCCUAAUACCAUGUGCUUCUGGACCGAUGCUACGUGGCCAUCUUAACAUUCAUUAAUUUCUUUGUAUUGUUAGACAAAAAAGAACCCUCUUCAAUCAAAUUUGGAGAAAGUGUUAGUAGCCAAAUUCAUAUCAAAUGGUUAAUCAUUUUAAGACUGGGCUUGAUUAAAUGUCUUUCCUCCUUUGCAUUCAGACACAGUGUACCUAAAGAAUUUAACUAUCUCCAUCCAUGUUCUUUAUCGAGUGAGCUCAAUGCAAAACUGAGGAGUAGCCACUUUGUCUAGGCACCAAGGUGCCUUCUAAAUUACAUUAAUACGAUUUUUAGAUCAAUCAUUAAUACUCUUUCUGUAUCCAUCGGUGUGUUGUCCUGCCUGUGUGGGCAAUUGUGAGGUUCACCUUUUUUGUAAAGGUGCUCCAUAGAUCAGAUGACCACCAUGCUGGAGAAUGGAGACAGCCAUAGGGCCAUGUUCUACUUCCCUGCCUUCUGCUUCAUUGAGCAGGCAGCAGAACCAGACCGUCUCCACCUACUACUUGCACUGAAUCACACGCCUCUGUGAUCGCAGGACCUUCAAGCAAUUCAACAGGAAGCGGAGGAGGGCUGCAGAAACCCCCAUCGGCCAGGAUGGGAUUUCAGAUGAAGCUCUCUUCACCUCAGGACCCAUCAAGACCAUGGCAG